GUCAGACAUUUCGAGUACAUGCGGGAAACGGUAGGGUGCGGGCGGGGGGUACAGGAGACGGGUGGGCCAUGGCCGUGGCCAUCUGAUGUGGGGAGAUUAGGGGUUAAGUCUUCAAGCGAGCGAGUUCCUCCCUGCAAUGUUGACCUGGGGGUAAAGCCGAGCGAUCGAGGGGAUAUCCCAACGUCAAUUUGGAGGAAGGCGGGCAUGGUAUCAAGUCAUCAUGCCCGGUCAUUAAGGGCAUGCACACGGACUUCAUUGGCCAAUUCAAAGGGAUGGGAGAUGGCGAGUUGGAUCUAAUCCCAAAAAGUUGGUGUAAGCUCAUAGGGCAGUGGGCAGCUCGCGUUCAGGAAGGUGGAACAACUUGUCAUCGCGCGUCAUGCCGGCACGCAGACUACGUUCCUGUGCCUGUUACACAGCGGGCGUCACACCCUGAAAGCCAGCUUUACUGGAAGUCAAGGAC
rnacentral:rRNA from 1 species